UACGUAGGGGGCUAGCGUUGUCCGGAUUUAUUGGGCGUAAAGAGCGUGUAGGCGGCCAGGUAGGUCCGCUGUGAAAACUCGAGGCUCAACCUCGAGAUGUCGGCGGAAACCAUCUGGCUAGAGUCCGGAAGAGGAAAGUGGAAUUCCCGGUGUAGCGGUGAAAUGCGCAGAUAUCGGGAAGAACACCCGUGGCGAAGGCGGCUUUCUGGGACGGUACUGACGCUGAGACGCGAAAGCGUGGGGAGCGAACAGG
rnacentral:rRNA from 1 species